rnacentral:lncRNA from 1 species
GAUCAGGCCUGUGCCGGUGGUGCCAUCGCUCGGGUUGUCUCGGGGAGGAGGCUGGGGAGCAGCCCCUAUGGUGCAAAAUAUGAUUCCAAAGUCAUGGAGAGCCAUGAAAUUCUACUUCACUACUGUUUACCAAGAAAUAUGGGUUGGUCUAGCAUUAACAGCGUAUGCCUAUUACAAAAUUUCGUACGGUGUAGGGAUCUUGAUGGCUAUAAAUUCUAAAUGCACGAGUCUUGGUUGAUGGAAGCAGUUAAAAAUCAAUAUAAUACUUACAGAAAUGUACCAUGAAAAGUGCAUCAUGUACAUUCAUUGAAGUUUGUUCAUGCUCAGUCAGCAAAUACUUGUUUUUCUUUCUCUCUAGGCAAAAAAGCAGUGGCGGAUAGUAAGUAUUAACUAUUACUUGUAUUAUUUUAAAUUAGUGCACUAAACAGAGCAUAUUUUACAUAAGCUUGGGUUUUAUUUAACCAAUUUAGUAGGUGUUUAAAGGCUGCCUCAAAGUAUGCAGUUUUAGUUGUUUGGAUGGUUUUGUAACCUAAAAGCAUUUGUGAAUCUGCCCAGAUGCUGCCUCCAUUUUCAAUUUUACUUUGCAUAGCUUUUAGGAGCAAAGUGGAAGUUGUAUGUCUUAAUAGGAUGG